rnacentral:rRNA from 1 species
GAACGCUGGCGGCGUGCCUAAUACAUGCAAGUCGAACGGUCUUUCUAUGGAAGCUUGCUUCCACUGAGAAGAUAGUGGCGAACGGGUGAGUAACACGUGGGUAACCUGCCCAUAAGAGGGGGAUAACAUCCGGAAACGGGUGCUAAUACCGCAUAGUUUUCUUGAUCGCAUGAUUGAGAAAGGAAAGACGGCCUUUGUGCUGUCGCUUAUGGAUGGACCCGCGGCGUAUUAGUUAGUUGGUGAGGUAAUGGCUCACCAAGACGAUGAUACGUAGCCGACCUGAGAGGGUGAUCGGCCACAUUGGGACUGAGACACGGCCCAAACUCCUACGGGAGGCAGCAGUAGGGAAUCUUCCGCAAUGGACGAAAGUCUGACGGAGCAACGCCGCGUGAGUGAAGAAAAGGUUUUCGGAUCGUAAAACUCUGUUGUCAGAGAAGAACAAGUUGGAGAGUAACUGCUCCAGCCUUGGCGGUAUCUGACCAGAAAGCCACGGCUAACUACGUGCCAGCCGCCGC